UACAGAGGGUGCAAGCGUUGUUCGGAAUUAUUGGGCGUAAAGCGCGUGUAGGCGGCUUUGCAAGUCGGGUGUGAAAUCCCCCAGCUUAACUGGGGAAGUGCGCUCGAAACUGCGGAGCUCGAGUACCGGAGAGGAUGGCGGAAUGCCCCAAGUAGAGGUGAAAUUCGUAGAUAUGGGGCGGAACACCGGUGGCGACGGCGGCCAUCUGGACGGAUACGUGACGCUGAGACGCGAAAGCGUGGGUAGCAAACAGG
rnacentral:rRNA from 1 species